AGAGUUUGAUCCUGGCUCAGAUUGAACGCUGGCGGCAUGCCUUACACAUGCAAGUCGAACGGCAGCACGGGUGCUUGCACCUGGUGGCGAGUGGCGAACGGGUGAGUAAUAUAUCGGAACGUACCCUAGAGUGGGGGAUAACGUAGCGAAAGUUACGCUAAUACCGCAUACGAUCUACGGAUGAAAGUGGGGGAUCGCAAGACCUCAUGCUCAUGGAGCGGCCGAUAUCUGAUUAGCUAGUUGGUGGGGUAAAAGCCUACCAAGGCGACGAUCAGUAGCUGGUCUGAGAGGACGACCAGCCACACUGGAACUGAGACACGGUCCAGACUCCUACGGGAGGCAGCAGUGGGGAAUUUUGGACAAUGGGGGCAACCCUGAUCCAGCAAUGCCGCGUGAGUGAAGAAGGCCUUCGGGUUGUAAAGCUCUUUUGUCAGGGAAGAAACGGGAUUUUCUAAUACAAAGUCCUAAUGACGGUACCUGAAAAAUAAGCACCGGCUAACUACGUGCCAGCAGCCGCGGUAAUACGUAGGGUGCAAGCGUUAAUCGGAAUUACUGGGCGUAAAGCGUGCGCAGGCGGUUGUGCAAGACAGAUGUGAAAUCCCCGGGCUCAACCUGGGAAUUGCAUUUGUGACUGCACGGCUAGAGUGUGUCAGAGGGGGGUAGAAUUCCACGUGUAGCAGUGAAAUGCGUAGAGAUGUGGAGGAAUACCGAUGGCGAAGGCAGCCCCCUGGGAUAACACUGACGCUCAUGCACGAAAGCGUGGGGAGCAAACAGGAUUAGAUACCCUGGUAGUCCACGCCCUAAACGAUGUCUACUAGUUGUCGGGUCUUAAUUGACUUGGUAACGCAGCUAACGCGUGAAGUAGACCGCCUGGGGAGUACGGUCGCAAGAUUAAAACUCAAAGGAAUUGACGGGGACCCGCACAAGCGGUGGAUGAUGUGGAUUAAUUCGAUGCAACGCGAAAAACCUUACCUACCCUUGACAUGUACGGAACUUACCAGAGAUGGUUUGGUGCUCGAAAGAGAACCGUAACACAGGUGCUGCAUGGCUGUCGUCAGCUCGUGUCGUGAGAUGUUGGGUUAAGUCCCGCAACGAGCGCAACCCUUGUCAUUAGUUGCUACGAAAGGGCACUCUAAUGAGACUGCCGGUGACGAACCGGAGGAAGGUGGGGAUGACGUCAAGUCCUCAUGGCCCUUAUGGGUAGGGCUUCACACGUCAUACAAUGGUACAUACAGAGGGCCGCCAACCCGCGAGGGGGAGCUAAUCCCAGAAAGUGUAUCGUAGUCCGGAUUGUAGUCUGCAACUCGACUACAUGAAGUUGGAAUCGCUAGUAAUCGCGGAUCAGCAUGUCGCGGUGAAUACGUUCCCGGGUCUUGUACACACCGCCCGUCACACCAUGGGAGCGGGUUUCACCAGAAGUAGGUAGCCUAACCGCAAGGAGGGCGCUUACCACGGUGGGAUUCGUGACUGGGGUGAAGUCGUAACAAGGUA
rnacentral:rRNA from 1 species